GACGAACGCUGGCGGCGUGCUUAACACAUGCAAGUCGAACGAUGAAGCCUAGCUUGCUAGGUGGAUUAGUGGCGAACGGGUGAGUAAUACGUGAGUAACCUACCUUUAACUCUGGGAUAAGCCUGGGAAACUGGGUCUAAUACCGGAUACGACCAAUCUCCGCAUGGGGUGUUGGUGGAAAGCGUUAUGUAGUGGUUAUAGAUGGGCUCACGGCCUAUCAGCUUGUUGGUGAGGUAACGGCUCACCAAGGCGACGACGGGUAGCCGGCCUGAGAGGGUGACCGGCCACACUGGGACUGAGACACGGCCCAGACUCCUACGGGAGGCAGCAGUGGGGAAUAUUGCACAAUGGGCGCAAGCCUGAUGCAGCGACGCCGCGUGAGGGAUGACGGCCUUCGGGUUGUAAACCUCUGUUAGCAGGGAAGAAGAGAGAUUGACGGUACCUGCAGAGAAAGCGCCGGCUAACUACGUGCCAGCAGCCGCCGGAAUACGUAAGGCGCGAGCGGUUGUCCGGAAUUAUUGGGCGUAAAGAGCCUUGUAAGCGGUUUGUCGCGUCUGCUGUGAAAGGCCGGAGCUUAACUCCGUGUAUUGCAGUGGGUACGGGCAGACUAGAGUGCAGUAGGGGAGACUGGAAUUCCUGGUGUAGCGGUGGAGUGCGCAGAUAUCAGGAGGAACACCGAUGGCGAAGGCAGGUCUCUGGGCUGUAACUGACGCUGAGAAGCGAAAGCGUGGGGAGCGAACAGGAUUAGAUACCCUGGUAGUCCAUGCCGUAAACGUUGGGCACUAGGUGUGGGGAACAUUCCACGUUUUCCGCGCCGUAGCUAACGCAUUAAGUGCCCCGCCUGGGGAGCACGGCCGCAAGGCUAAAACUCAAAGAAAUUGACGGGGGCCCGCACAAGCGGCGGAGCAUGCGGAUUAAUUCGAUGCAACGCGAAGAACCUUACCAAGGCUUGACAUAUACUGGAUCGCAUCAGAGAUGGUGUUUCCCUUCGGGGCUGGUAUACAGGUGGUGCAUGGUUGUCGUCAGCUCGUGUCGUGAGAUGUUGGGUUAAGUCCCGCAACGAGCGCAACCCUCGUUCUAUGUUGCCAGCACGUUAUGGUGGGGACUCAUAGGAGACUGCCGGGGUCAACUCGGAGGAAGGUGGGGAUGACGUCGAAUCAUCAUGCCCCUUAUGUCUUGGGCUUCACGCAUGCUACAAUGGCCGGUACAGAGGGUUGCGAUACUGUGAGGUGGAGCUAAUCCCUAAAAGCCGGUCUCAGUUCGGAUUGGGGUCUGCAACUCGACCCCAUGAAGUCGGAGUCGCUAGUAAUCGCAGAUCAGCAACGCUGCGGUGAAUACGUUCCCGGGCCU
rnacentral:rRNA from 1 species